AAACCAUCAUGCAUUGUGUGUGCAUGGUGCGAUUAUCCUCUGUUAAGGUCACCUGUCCCUCCUCAGCAGUACUUUGGUAAUGUCAAAUAAUGCAUGCUGCAGCCAGUCAGUAGGGAGAACUCUAAGUAUUUUGGGGGGCUAUCAUGUCCAUCUUUAAUGCAGUCUGUGGGUGCUUUUGAUCAAAUUCAUUUGCACAUCCUCUCUCCUAGACCGACCCACAAAUCAUCCCCUCUCCACCAUGAUGAAGGAUUGUCCAGUUUUACUAAUGCACCUGGAGGAGACAAGGAUCGAAGAGAGAGGAGGCAUCUUGAAGAGCUCAGAACGGGGGCAGACAGAGUUGGUGUUUGGCUAAAAGCAACAGGAUGAAUUAGCAAGCAACCCUAAUCCAGACAGACGUGAGCCAGUGGAUCCUGACGUCCAACAGCUGCACUGCCUCAGGCAAUGAGGAGGAGGAGGAAGAAGAGAAGGAGGAAGGGGGAUGAUGAUGUGGAGGUUCAUGAAACAGAAAGCGAAGGCUGGAAUAACUGCAGAACACAUGUGACCUGAGGGGAGAGAAUAAAGAGCUGAUUAAAUAAAAAGGAUCAGCAGAGGAAGAGGAGACGAUGAAGGACAGGAGGAGAGGAGCGAGCAGAAAAAUAAAAGAUGAGGAAUGCAGACGGAGUAAAAAACGAGUCCAGCUGCACUCGCUUCAUUAAUCCAGAAGAUCUAAACACACCACCUGAGGCGGUAAAGACAGAGAACGGAGAGUGUGAGGGGCUACGAUUAAUUCCUCUGGUAGUAACGGUUGUGUAUCAGGAUAAACUGGCUCUUCCUCUCAGUUUUUGUCAAAUUACGCUCAUUUAAGACCUCAAAUCUAACACAGAUCCCUCUUAAAAUCUACAGUCCACGUGAUUAAAUCUGAUCUGUCCGGUUAUACUCACCAGACGUGAGGAUCCUGGAGCUGUCCAGAAGCCUUUCCUCCUGAAGAAACAGUCAUAUAAUCCUGCUAAAAGAUGAAUGAUUAUUAUAUAUAGCUAAACUUUUUUUUCAGUAUGCCUUUGAGGUGCUUGCUGGUGGAUUUUGUUGCUUAACAGACAUUUCACAUCCCUGCCAGAAAGCAGCCGGAGGCUUCAGCCAGGAGUCAGUUUGGGGAUGGGGCGGCGGAUAGCGUCAGAUUUCUGACCACACUGUCAUCAAAGAAAACUCUACCUUAGAAACUUCUUACUGAUGUUGUUUGUUUCAUUCAGGAAAAGUUAACCAAAGUUUGUUGCUCAAUAAAUAAUGUGUCAGUCAUUGA